AUGAGUGGGGGAGGGGUGGUAGCGCAUGUUCAUACUUGUAUGGGAAGUCCCUGGUUGGUUUUAAAAGGGAAGGAGAUGGCCGUGACGCUGGACUCUACUGGCUGCUGAUGCAUUGGUACCUGUGGUAGAUGAGAUGGAAGCGGUGAAAAAGUCCAGGAUUCCACCUGCUGAUUGUCGUAGGACAAGCUAUAAAGCUCCUACAAAGCAACACCUCCUGGUGUACAACUCAGUUAAUCAUCACAACAGAAUCUUAACUACUGAGUCUGACAUACAAGGUACUUCUCACAUUCAAUAAAUGUUUGUCAAAUUUCGCAAAAUACAGGAAAAUCUGUCAAAGGAGAGAUCUGCCAUCUUCAGCACUGAAAAGAAAACCAGUUACCAAAUAAGAGUUCUACUCCAUGAUUUAAGCCUUGCCCUGGAAUAAACUCCAGGACCCUGCACCCAUGUGGGAGACCUGAAAGAAGUUCCUGGCUCCUGGCUUUGGUCAGUUCACCUCCAGUGGUUGCAGCCACUUAGGGAG